UGCAAUGCCUGAGUAGGUAUAGAACUUCUAUGCUCAAAUUCUUCCUUUCCUCCUGUUCUUAAUCUUUCUCUUUCUUCUUUUUCUUCUUCCAUCAACUGCCAUAGCGUUAAUUUGCCUUCGCAACCUAAAUCUUGUAGAUCAAAAUUACAUUGCCCUUCUGUGUCUUCACUCCUCCAUAAUUUAUCCUCUCCCCAGCAACUAGACUGAUCACUGAUGAAAUUUGCUUCCCUCUCCUUCCCCUCUUUCCCUUUCUUUACAAUACGCAAUUUCUUUGGCACCAGUUUCUUGAUGAAUUUUCUUCUGAUUUUAUUACUACUCCGUCUAUGCUCUUCUGCACAAAUCAAAACUCCACCUUCAGAGUCCUCUGCCUCCACAUCUCCAGCCACACUAUCACAUCUCUUAUCAUAAUUCAAUAAAUCAUAAAUAGUUUGACUUUCUGUUCUCUUAUUUGCUUCAACUCGUCCAGCCAUAUUAACUGUUGGCUCCACAACUUGAAUUUCCUUGACAGGAGUGUUGGAUUCAAGACUCUCAACCAAAUCAAAGGCAUCAGAAGCACUAUCAUCUUCCUCUACAUUGAUCAAUCCUUUCUUGGAAUCUCUCCUAAGUGGAAACAAUGAAAACACUCUUCGGAUUAAACGUGGAAAGGGCAAUAAGCAUGUUUUCAACAAACAAAAGGGACGUUGCCCGACAUAUUCAAGAAAUAAGAGAAUAAAAGCGGACAUUGUUAUCCCAACAGCAAUUCUUGUCGUGCUCAAAGCCAAAGCCAACACAACAAACAUCUUCAAAACUGAAAAUAACAAGCGUUUCUCUUGAGUAUUCGAGCCAGGAUUACCAUCAUCAACAACACCACACCCCUUAAGACCCUGAUUAGAAUCAAGAAAUCGAUCUUCGCCCGCUAAAACUUCACAUCUAUCAAAAUUUUUAUGUUGACCCUCCACAUUCUCCGGGCCUUCACACUUUUUAUCGAUAUUAACAGGCUCCACAGUCAAUUCUCUAUAGUUCGAGAAGCGUACGGGAUCGGAGAUUGCAGCCUCCUCAACCACGCGCGGCUGAAUAUACUGUUGCUGCCGAUGACUAUGGUGUCGUUGCUGUUGCUGCUGCUGCUUCCUCUUUUUGAUGGGUUUCUUUAAUCGUUCAUGGUUCUUGACGAAAAGAUCAACAAGAGAAGUAGGGAAUCCGGUCUCGACAACAAGUGAAUUGGGUUUGGGUGGCUGGAGAUCCGCAACAAUACGAGAAAUUCUUGAAACUUUGGCCUUCUUCCACGGCCAAGGCAUGGUUGGUUAUUGAUUGAACAACCCAAAAAACAGGGGGAAUAUGAGAAAGAAUGAGAGAUGGGUAAAUUUUGUUGGAAGCGAGGGGCGAAGAAGAAGGUGUACAGAUAUUUGAUGGCGUUCGAAAGGAGAAGACAGUCAUUACAAAAGCGAGAAAGAAAGGAAAAGGGCGAGAAGUUUACAGGCAAUUGUGGGGAGAUGGUGAUGGCAAUAAAUGCGAACAAAUUACGGUCAAACGCGUGCGUGAGCUGGUAGGGUGGUUGUAACCCUGAAGCUGG
rnacentral:misc_RNA from 1 species